UAGUCCACGCCGUAAACGAUGUCAACUAGCCGUCGGGCUCAUUUAAGGGUUUGGUGGCGCAGCUAACGCGCUAAGUUGACCGCCUGGGGAGUACGCCGGCAACGGUGAAACUCAAAGGAAUUGACGGGGGCCCGCACAAGCGGUGGAGCAUGUGGUUUAAUUCGAUGAUACGCGAGGAACCUUACCAGGGCUUAAAUGCAGAACGACAGAGGUGGAAACAUCUCCUUCUUCGGACGGACUGCAAGGUGCCGCAUGGUUGUCGUCAGCUCGUGCCGUGAGGUGUCGGGUUAAGUCCCAUAACGAGCGCAACCCCAUCCUUAGUUGCCAGCGGAUAAUGCCGGGGACUCUAAGGAAACUGCCAGCGUAAGCUGAGAGGAAGGUGGGGAUGACGUCAAAUCAUCACGGCCCUUACGUCCUGGGGCUACACACGUGCUACAAUGGCAUAGACAGUGAGCAGCCAACCCGCGAGGGUGAGCUAAUCUU
rnacentral:rRNA from 1 species